rnacentral:ncRNA from 1 species
CUAUGGUAAUUCUGUUUAGUACGGGAGGAACCGCAGGUUCAGACAUUUGGUGCCUGGCCGAAAGGCCAAUGGUGCGAAGCUACCAUCUGAGAGAUUACGACUGAACGCCUCCAAGUCUGAAUCCCGUCCAGAUAG